CACUCAGCACGUCCGUUCCCUUCGACUUCACUCAAGCGCGCGCGAAAACAUCGCCACCUAGAGUAGGUGGCGAUGAGCGAGGGGGAGGAAGGAGAAACGAGGCGAAGCGUCGCGCAGGAGGAAGGCAGGCUGUGCACACGUAAGAAGGCGGCUACGAGAAAACAGCUGAUCAGUGCGAUGGCCUGCAUUUCGUGUACCUUUGUCCGUAACGCUGGUCGACUAAAUGAGAUGUCGGCUUCCGAGGUCCACUUUCGGCCGAGAAGAAUUUUGGAAGCAGUGAACAUCAUGGAAACCGGGAGAGCGUAGUGCAAGGUGAGUAAACAAUAUCAUUCUCUGUUGUGCUUAAUGCCUGGACAGUAGCAUCUGAACAUCUGCGGUGAUUGCGCGAUGUUUACUUUUGCUUUUAUUCACAUAGGAAAUGGAAGAAUCGAAGAAGAGUGGAAGGCAGUACAUCUCAACAGACAGCUGGAGAUCACCCAUUAACUCGCCAGCAGCCCCGCAGGCCACCUCGACAACAUCCACUGGAGGAUGCAGCCUGCAGGGUAGCAGAGGAGUAUGCACGACAGGGGUAGCUGGCUGAGGCGGUCAGAUUUCACCAGAUCCUGCUAGAGCAAAAUAGGCA
rnacentral:misc_RNA from 1 species